rnacentral:rRNA from 1 species
GACGAACCGUGCAAACGUUGUUCGGAAUCACUGGGCUUAAAGGGCGCGUAGGCGGGCUCGCCAGUCUGUGGUGAAAGCCCCCGGCUUAACCGGGGAAGUGCCGUGGAUACUGCGAGCCUCGAGGAGGGUAGGGGCAUCUGGAACAGCCGGUGGAGCGGUGAAAUGCGUUGAUAUCGGCUGGAACUCCGGUGGCGAAGGCGAGGUGCUGGACCCUUUCUGACGCUGAGGCGCGAAAGCCAGGGGAGCAAGCAGGG